rnacentral:rRNA from 1 species
ACUCCUACGGGAGGCAGCAGUGGGGAAUAUUGCACAAUGGGGAAACCCUGAUGCAGCCAUGCCGCGUGUGUGAAGAAGGCCUUCGGUUGUAAAGCACUUUCAGUAGGGAGGAAGGUAGUGUAGUUAACACCUGCAUUAUUUGACGUUACCUACAGAAGAAGCACCGGCUAACUCCGUGCCAGCAGCCGCGGUAAUACGGAGGGGUGCGAGCGUUAAUCGGAAUUACUGGGCGUAAAGCGCAUGCAGGCGGCCUGUUAAGUCAGAUGUGAAAGCCCGGGGGCUUAACCUCGGAAUUGCAUUUGAAACUGGCAGGCUAGAGUCUUGUAGAGGGGGUAGGAAUUUCAGGUGUAGCGGUGAAAUGCGUAGAGAUCUGAAGGAAUACCAGUGGCGAAGGCGGCCCCCUGGACAAAGACUGACGCUCAGAUGCGAAAGCGUGGGGAGCGAAACAGGAUUAGAUACCCUGGUAGCACAGAG